rnacentral:hammerhead_ribozyme from 1 species
GUAUUGCUGAGGAGUCCCAUAAUAGGACGAAACGGCCGUCCACUGCUUCCAGUAU